CAAGCCAGUAAAGAACAUCCCUCCGUGGCCUCUGCAUCAGUUCCUGCUUCCUGACCUGCUUGAGUUCUAGUCCUGCAUCCUUUGGUGAUCAACAGCAAUGUGGAAAGUGUUUGAAGAGUCUGGAGAGAUGAGGUCACAGCUGGAAAUCACUUUUGAAGAUGGAACCCGGUCUGAGAAACCACCUGCUUCUUCCUUAGUGACUUUGUUCCUGCAGGCAGCCCCCUUCUCCCUCCUUUAAGGUCAACAUGACUCGGACUUCAGACAACUGGUCAUCUAAACGGGUUCUACCUGGGCUCCUGGGAAGAACACGUACUCCCUCCCUCACAGCUGGUACUGACCAUCCUCCCCAUUGACCAUUUGCUCCUAAGACAUCCUCAGAGUGCAGGAGCGCCAGCGAUCAUUCUGUGAUAAUGGGGUGAUGUCAUUGGCCAACUUUCUGGGCCAGAACUCAAUUAAAAUUCUCUGGCGUUUGGGGCCAUGACUCAUUUGGUACGGCAUUUGCACUGUGAGCAUAAGAAUAUGGAUUUGGAUGCCCAGAACCCGUACAAAAUGCCUGAUGAGGUGAUACAUACCUGUACUCCCAGGGAUAGAAAAGUGAGAGAC